UACAGAGGUGGCAAGCGUUGUUCGGAAUUACUGGGCGUAAAGGGCGCGUAGGCGGUCUUUCAAGUCCCGUGUGAAAUCCCUCGGCUCAACUGAGGAACUGCACGGGAAACUGUUUGGCUUGAGUUCGGGAGAGGGAAGCGGAAUUCCGGGUGUAGCGGUGAAAUGCGUAGAUAUCCGGAGGAACACCGGUGGCGAAGGCGGCUUCCUGGACCGAUACUGACGCUGAGGCGCGAAAGCUAGGGGAGCAAACGGG
rnacentral:rRNA from 1 species